AUGUACCACGCGUACACUCCGGUUCUGAGCGCGCCGUCCGCGCCCACCUGACAGCUGCU
rnacentral:sRNA from 1 species